rnacentral:rRNA from 1 species
GACGAACGUUGGCGGCGUGCUUAACACAUGCAAGUCGAACGGAAAGGCCCUGCUUUUGUGGGGUGCUCGAGUGGCGAACGGGUGAGUAACACGUGAGUAACCUGCCCUUGACUUUGGGAUAACUUCAGGAAACUGGGGCUAAUACCGGAUAGGAGCUCCUGCUGCAUGGUGGGGGUUGGAAAGUUUCGGCGGUUGGGGAUGGACUCGCGGCUUAUCAGCUUGUUGGUGGGGUAGUGGCUUACCAAGGCUUUGACGGGUAGCCGGCCUGAGAGGGUGACCGGCCACAUUGGGACUGAGAUACGGCCCAGACUCCUACGGGAGGCAGCAGUGGGGAAUAUUGCACAAUGGGCGGAAGCCUGAUGCAGCAACGCCGCGUGCGGGAUGACGGCCUUCGGGUUGUAAACCGCUUUCGCCUGUGACGAAGCGUGAGUGACGGUAAUGGGUAAAGAAGCACCGGCUAACUACGUGCCAGCAGCCGCGGUGAUACGUAGGGUGCGAGCGUUGUCCGGAUUUAUUGGGCGUAAAGGGCUCGUAGGUGGUUGAUCGCGUCGGAAGUGUAAUCUUGGGGCUUAACCCUGAGCGUGCUUUCGAUACGGGUUGACUUGAGGAAGGUAGGGGAGAAUGGAAUUCCUGGUGGAGCGGUGGAAUGCGCAGAUAUCAGGAGGAACACCAGUGGCGAAAGCGGUUCUCUGGGCCUUUCCUGACGCUGAGGAGCGAAAGCGUGGGGAGCGAACAGGCUUAGAUACCCUGGUAGUCCACGCUGUAAACGGUGGGUACUAGGUGUGGGGUCCAUUCCACGGGUUCCGUGCCGUAGCUAACGCUUUAAGUACCCCGCCUGGGGAGUACGGCCGCAAGGCUAAAACUCAAAGGAAUUGACGGGGCCCCGCACAAGCGGCGGAGCAUGCGGAUUAAUUCGAUGCAACGCGUAGAACCUUACCUGGGUUUGACAUGGAUCGGGAGUGCUCAGAGAUGGGUGUGCCUCUUUUGGGGUCGGUUCACAGGUGGUGCAUGGCUGUCGUCAGCUCGUGUCGUGAGAUGUUGGGUUAAGUCCCGCAACGAGCGCAACCCUUGUUCACUGUUGCCAGCACGUUAUGGUGGGGACUCAGUGGAGACCGCCGGGGUCAACUCGGAGGAAGGUGGGGAUGACGUCAAGUCAUCAUGCCCCUUAUGUCCAGGGCUUCACGCAUGCUACAAUGGCUGGUACAGAGAGUGGCGAGCCUGUGAGGGUGAGCGAAUCUCGGAAAGCCGGUCUCAGUUCGGAUUGGGGUCUGCAACUCGACCUCAUGAAGUCGGAGUCGCUAGUAAUCGCAGAUCAGCAACGCUGCGGUGAAUACGUUCCCGGG